GGCUAACGCUGGCGGCGUGUCUUAGCCAUGCAAGUCGAGCGGACUUAUGGGGUAACUUAUAAGUCAGCGGCGGACGGCGGAGUAACACGUAGCUAACCUACCCUCUGGACGGGGAUAACCUACCGAAAGGUGGGCUAAUACCCGAUGUAGUCAUCCUGUAUAGGGGUGAUGAAAGGUGGGCUUCUGUUUACAAGCUCAUGCUGGAGGAGGGGGCUGCGGCCUAUCAGGUAGUUGGUAGGGUAAUAGCCUACCAAGCCGAUGACGGGUAGCCGGCCUGAGAGGGUGACCGGCCCGAGGGGCACUGAGAUACGGGUCCCACUCCUACGGGAGGCAGCAGGCUAGGAAUUUGGGCAAUGGGGGAAACCCUGACCCAGUGACGCCGCGUGCAGGAAGGAGCCCUUCGGGGUGUAAACUGCUGUCGUGUAGGGAGAAGGGUACUAAGGUGAACAAUCUUAGUACUUGACGGUACUACAGGAGGAAGCCCAGGCUAACCUCGUG
rnacentral:rRNA from 1 species